rnacentral:lncRNA from 1 species
AUGUGUAGUUUGUCCUUCACUGACCUGAUGAUCACUGGGCUCUCUGUGCCCCAGGCUCCAUCUGCCCACAGCCCUGAGACGCCCCACUCCAUGGGCACAGGUGCUGAGGGCAUCCAGAAGCAGGAGCACAGGGAUGACGAGAACUUUGCCUGCUGGCUUUUGUUUUAUUUUUCUUUUGACAGUGACAGAUUUCCUCCUCCUGUAGACUAUUCUAGAGACCGCAGCAAAGCAAGGUCUGGCUUUCUGCGGAGUAGUUGCAGCCUUCACAGAAGAGUUUCCUAUCACAUGCUUCAGCCGACAACCUCAGAACAGCUGAGCCAGGCUGUCCCAUCCUGCACAGAUCCCAGCCACUGCCGGAGCAGCCCAUUCCCGAGACGGCAGAGGACACAGCUUUGGUGUGCAACAGGAUACCAAACCAUGGGCGUGUGAACCGCGCCGACCUAGCUGAAAUUAGGCAUAAUUAUUAAGUUCACCUUAUCAUGACCUUGCUUUCUCAGAUACUGUCAGUGUUAAUGUGAGCUGUUUGUGCAUACCAAGAGGGGAAUAAAGAUCUCAUACAUAAAUAUGCAUUCUUAUUUUCAUCAUUU